AAUAGAAUGCCUUUUUAGAAUCCCCUGCAGGCGCCAACUCGGAAUAAAAAAAACCUCACUUUAGAAUGAAGCAGGAAUCAUCCAAACCAGAAAGCCCACAUGGAUUCCGAACCGCAGAUGGCAUCAAGCCCGAUUUAAGCCGAUUCGGCGACAUCAGAAUAGGUUGUGCAAGAACGAAAAGAAGGCAGGGACAUUUCAUUUAACAGGAAAGACCAUAAAAACCACCAGUAUAGGCCUUUUUUUGGCAAGCAAC
rnacentral:misc_RNA from 1 species